AACACAUUACAUCAUUCAACUUAUGAACAUGGAGCGUUCUUCAUUUAAACUGGCUUUCUUUGCCAUCUUCUUUCUUGCUAUAUAUAAAUCUUUUAAAGGCAUGGAAUGUGCCGUCGCGACUGCCUCCGGGGAACCGUCGCUGGACGGCUGCAGCGGCGCGUGCAAAGUAAACAGCGAUUGCGGAGGAGGCGGCGGUUGUUAUUGCGUUCGCAGCCUCACUGGUUACAAGUACUGCUCACAGAGUUAACUACUUUUGCGUUUAUAACUACUAUCUAAGGGUGUGUUACACAGAUAAAUCUUGCAUUUUGAUCUCAGUUGGUCACAAAUCAUAAAAAGCCAAGUACCCACUCCAACGCUUAUGUGUCACGCCACGGUGUCAAUUACCGGUUCAUCAGGUAAAAGUUACCGGUUAAUGGGGUCAAGUGACUCAAAAUUGUAUGUUCAUGUGUUCAAUU